UUUCCCUUUUGGCAGAGACUAACCGUUGAAGUGAAUGGGGACCAGAGAAAGCAAAACUUGUUAAACCAGAUGCUUCUUGGAAAUGGGACUCAAAGUUCCAGGGUUUUCCUUGCGCCUCUGUAAACACGAUGCUGAUCCUGCCACGCUCAUGCCUUCCAUUGUGUGUUCCCAUCCAGAGCAACGCAACAGCUUCUCCAGGGAGUAUUCGGAUGGAACAUGAGGCGACCUGUCGCCCAACCUGCAUGCCUGGAUCCAGUGCAACAAAGCCAGGAGAGCAUCUUCUAAAUGGAACGGCAAUCCUGUGUGCUUUGCGGGGUUGCGGUGAGGACUGAAUGGGAGCCUGAAGACCACGUUAAGCAGAGGACUUGGCACGGAGCAAACGCUCAUUAAAUGGUUUCUUAACGUCAGUGCUGCUGUCGUUUCCUACCAGAUAAUUCUUUGGUGUGGGGGCUGUCUCAUGCGCAGAUGUUUGGCGGCAUCCUUGACCUCUGUCCUCCGUGUACCAGUAGCACGCUCCAGUUGUGACAACUGAAAAUGUGUCCAGAUGCUGCAAAAUGUCCCCUGAAGGGCAGCAUCACUCCUUGUUGAGAAUUGCUGAUUUGCCACGUUCUGGGCAUGGCAUGUCCCUUGUCCCUCGGUCAGGUUAUAAAUACCUUCAGGGAGGAUUUCCAUUAUUUCUACGAUGCCUGGAUACCGAUGAUAGAGUAAAUGUCUAAUAAAUGUGUUUACUUGAGCCACUCAGCUCAUUUUCCUGGUUGUACCACCUUCAGCUGAGGCUGGGGAAGGAAGGAAACUCUGAGGCCAUUAUUCAUCAUUGUCAGUUAGCAUGUUUUAAAUAAAUACUCAGAAUUCCUGGAUUUCAUUGUGUUUUCCUCGCCGACUCCGGGGUCUGGAGUGCCUUAACUUCAGAAUGCCAGCUCUGCGAGGGGCCGAACAAAUCCCAUGUCCUGG